GUGCUGGCUUCUGCAGCACUCACACUACAAAUAGGACGAUACACAGAAGAUCAGCGUGGCCCCUGUGCAAGGGUGAUACGCAAAUUCGUGAAGCGUUCCUUAUUUUA